rnacentral:rRNA from 1 species
GACGAACGCUGGCGGCGUGCUUAACACAUGCAAGUCGAACGGAAAGGCCGUGCUUAUGUGGGGUGCGCGAGUGGCCACGGGGGGAGUAACCCGUGAGUAACCUGCCCUUGACUUUGGGAUAACUUCAGGAAACUGGGGCUAUUACCGGAUAGGAGCUCCCGCUGCAUGGUGGGGGUUGGAAAGUUUCGGCGGUUGGGGAUGGACCCGCGGCUUAUCAGCUUGUUGGGGGGGUAGUGGCCUACCAAGGCUUGGACGGGUAGCCGGGCUGGGGGGGUGAGCGGCCACAUUGGGACUGAGAUACGACCCGGACUAGUACGGGAGGCAGCAGUGCGGAAUAUUGCAUACUGGACGGGAGCCUGAUGCAGCAACGCCGCGUGCGGGAUGUCGGCCAUCUGUUUGUAAAGCGCUUUCGCCUGUGACGAAGCGUGAAUGACGGUAAUGGGUAAAGAAGCCCCGGCUAACUACGUG